UGGAAAUUGACUUUGGUGGUAAGGAGUUCAACUAGGCUCAAGCUCUGUCCCUUAGCGAAUAUGGGAACAGCUUCAAUCGUAGUGCAUCUUCGUGUACUCCGGCUAACUUGAAAGAAUCGCUCACCUCUAUGAACAGUCUUAAGUGCAGGUGAGGAUCUUCGAUAGGCAUUCCAUUGAAUUAGCCCACUAUCUGAAGCAUCUAGAACAUGAUUGGCUUCAGCUCAAACUAUUGUACCUCGAUUUCGGGUCUCC
rnacentral:lncRNA from 1 species